AAGGCGAGGCCGAAAGGCGUAGUCGAUGGGAAACGGGUUAAUAUUCCCGUACUUGGUGUUACUGCGAAGGGGGGACGGAGAAGGCUAUGUUGGCCGGGCGACGGUUGUCCCGGUUUAAGCGUGUAGGUGUGUGUUCCAGGUAAAUCCGGUUCACUUUAACACUGAGGCGUGAUGACGAGGCACUACGGUGCUGAAGCAACAAAUGCCCUGCUUCCAGGAAAAGCCUCUAAGCAUCAGGUAACAUCAAAUCGUACCCCAAACCGACACAGGUGGUCAGGUAGAGAAUACCAAGGCGCUUGA
rnacentral:rRNA from 4 species